rnacentral:lncRNA from 1 species
ACGUCUCUCAAUCUUUUUAAAGAACUGCAACAUGUCAGCUGCCAUCGCCGCUGCCGCUGCUGCCGUGGCUUGCAAUUCUACAGGUUCAUCAAGAAACGGGAACAAUCAUCAACAGAUGGAACAGGCAACCUUAUCACCAUCACUGCCGCUACCACCGCCAUCGCUGCCAUUAAGUCGGUAUGAAUCCCAAAAGAGACGAGACUGGAAUACUUUUGGCCAGUACCUCAGAAACCACCGACCACCCUUAGCACUAUCCCGUUGCAGCGGCGCUCAUGUGCUGGAGUUCUUAAGGUAUCUUGACCAGUUUG